UACGAAGGGGGCUAGCGUUGCUCGGAAUCACUGGGCGUAAAGGGUGCGUAGGCGGGUCUUUAAGUCAGGGGUGAAAUCCUGGAGCUCAACUCCAGAACUGCCUUUGAUACUGAAGAUCUUGAGUUCGGGAGAGGUGAGUGGAACUGCGAGUGUAGAGGUGAAAUUCGUAGAUAUUCGCAAGAACACCAGUGGCGAAGGCGGCUUCCUGGACACUUACUGACGCUGAGACGCGAAAGCGUGGGGAGCAAACAGG
rnacentral:rRNA from 1 species